UGGGGAAUAUUGGGCAAUGGGCGAAAGCCUGACCCAGCGACGCCGCGUGGGUGAUGAAGGCCUUCGGGUUGUAAAACCCUUUCGUGCGGAAAGAAUAGUCCUGUAGCGAAUAACUACGGGAUUUGACGGUACCGCAGGAAGAAGCACCGGCUAACUCCGUGCCAGCAGCCGCGGUAAUACGGAGGGUGCAAGCGUUGUUCGGAAUUAUUGGGCGUAAAGGGCGCGUAGGUGGUUGUGAUAGUCAGAUGUGAAAUCCUUCGGCUCAACCGAAGAACUGCAUCUGAAACUUCAUAGCUCGAGUACAGGAGAGGGAAACGGAAUUCCCGGUGUAGAGGUGAAAUUCGUAGAUAUCGGGAGGAACACCAGUGGCGAAGGCGGUUUCCUGGCCUGAUACUGACG
rnacentral:rRNA from 1 species